GUGAGUCAUCGAAUCUUUGAACGCACAUUGCGCCCUUUGGCAUUCCGAGGGGCAUGCCUGUUCGAGCGUCAUGACCAAAUCUCAAGCCUAGCUUGGUAUUGGGUUUUCGUCUCCUAUCUGUGUACAGGUAGGUGGCGUGCCUGAAAGUCAACAGCAGUGCCUCAAUAGACCUAAGUGUAGCAGACUGACUCGCUUUAGAGGGCUUUUUGUAGACACUGUUAAUGAAAAAUAAAUCAAGUUGGACCUCGGAUCAGGUAGGGAUACCCGCUGAACUUAAGCAUAUCAAUAAGCGGAGGA
rnacentral:misc_RNA from 1 species